GGGUCGGUAGCUCAACGGUAGAGCAGUAGCCUUUUAAGCUAUUGGUUCUGAGUUCGAAUCUCAGCCGACUCA
rnacentral:tRNA from 1 species